rnacentral:tRNA from 1 species
GGAUUUAGUUCAGCUGGGAGAGCGCAUCGCUGGCAGCGAUGAGGUCAGGGGUUAGAUCCCCCUAAGGUCCA